rnacentral:rRNA from 1 species
UACGUAGGGGGCAAGCGUUGUCCGGAAUUAUUGGGCGUAAAGCGCGCGCAGGCGGUCAUGUAAGUCUGGUGUUUAAUCCCGGGGCUCAACCCCGGAUCGCACUGGAAACUGCGUGACUUGAGUGCAGAAGAGGAGAGUGGAAUUCCACGUGUAGCGGUGAAAUGCGUAGAGAUGUGGAGGAACACCAGUGGCGAAGGCGACUCUCUGGGCUGUAACUGACGCUGAGUCGCGAAAGCGUGGGGAGCAAACAGG